rnacentral:misc_RNA from 1 species
GAUGAAGAACGUAGCGAAAUGCGAUAAGUAAUGUGAAUUGCAGAAUUCCGUGAAUCAUCGAAUCUUUGAACGCACAUUGCGCCCUCUGGUAUUCCGGGGGGCAUGCCUGUCCGAGCGUCAUUUGCAACCCUGAAGCCCGGCUUGUGUGAUGGGUGCCGUCCCCUACGGGACGCGCCCCGAAGGCAAUGGCGGCGUCGCGGUUAUCCGAUCAGCCAAAGUGUAUGGGGCUUUGUCACUCACUUUACGGCCCGGACCGGCGCCAGUCCGAAUCAAUCUUUUUUCUAAAGUUGACCUCGGAUCAGGUAGGGAUACCCGCUGAACUUAAGCAUAUCAAUAAGCGGAGGA